CUACGGGUUGCAGCAGUGGGGAAUAUUGGACAAUGGGGGAAACCCUGAUCCAGCAAUGCCGCGUGUGUGAAGAAGGCCUGCGGGUUGUAAAGCACUUUCGGUUGGGAGGACUGCUUCUAGCACUAAUAUUGUUGGAAGUUGACGUUACCUUCAGAAGAAGCACCGGCGUAACUCCGUGCCAGCAGCCGCGGGUAAUACGGAGGGUGCAAGCGUUAAUCGGAAUUACUGGGCGUAAAGCGCGCGUAGGCGGCUAGAUCAGUCGGGUGUGAAAGCCCCGGGCUUAACCUGGGAACUGCAUCCGAUACUGUCUAGCUUGAGUACAGGAGAGGAGAGUGGAAUUCCACAUGUAGCGGUGAAAUGCGUAGAUAUGUGGAGGAACACCAAUGGCGAAGGCAGCUCUCUGGCCUGAUACUGACGCUGAGGUGCGAAAGCGUGGGGAGCAAACAGGAUUAGAUACCCCGGUAGUC
rnacentral:rRNA from 1 species